UGUUAAAAAUUUCAUCCAUUUCUACUAUUAACAAUUGACAUGACUGACAGAAUAACCAAAUAGUGAUACGUGUCAUGCCACAUGUAUUUUAUGCCAACGAAUAGGGAACAAUUUUUAACAAUAGAAAUAGAUGAAAUUUUUAAUA
rfam:Gossypium raimondii Chr06_contig_1290, whole genome shotgun sequence.